rnacentral:rRNA from 1 species
AGUGAACGCUGGCGGUAUGCCUAACACAUGCAAGUCGAACGGCAGCACAGUAAGAGCUUGCUCUUACGGGUGGCGAGUGGCGGACGGGUGAGGAAUACAUCGGAAUCUACUUUUUCUUGGGGGAUAACGUAGGGAAACUUACGCUAAUACCGCAUACGACCUACGGGUGAAAGCAGGGGAUCUUCGGACCUUGCGCGAUUCAAUUAGCCGAUGUCGGAUUGGCUAGUUGGCGGGGUAAAGGCCCACCAAGGCGACGAUCCGUAGCUGGUCUGAGAGGAUGAUCAGCCACACUGGAACUGAGACACGGUCCAGACUCCUACGGGAGGCAGCAGUGGGGAAUAUUGGACAAUGGGCGCAAGCCUGAUCCAGCCAUACCGCGUGGGUGAAGAAGGCCUUCGGGUUGUAAAGCCCUUUUGUUGGGAAAGAAAAGCAGCAGGUUAAUACCCCGCUGUUCUGACGGUACCCAAAGAAUAAGCACCGGCUAACUUCGUG